AUUGAACGCUGGCGGCAGGCUUAACACAUGCAAGUCGAGCGGGGAAGGGUAGCUUGCUACCUGACCUAGCGGCGGACGGGUGAGUAAUGCUUAGGAAUCUGCCUAUUAGUGGGGGACAACAUUCCGAAAGGAAUGCUAAUACCGCAUACGCCCUACGGGGGAAAGCAGGGGAUCUUCGGACCUUGCGCUAAUAGAUGAGCCUAAGUCAGAUUAGCUAGUUGGUGGGGUAAAGGCCUACCAAGGCGACGAUCUGUAGCGGGUCUGAGAGAAUGAUCCGCCACACUGGGACUGAGACACGGCCCAGACUCCUACGGGAGGCAGCAGUGGGGAAUAUUGGACAAUGGGCGAAAGCCUGAUCCAGCCAUGCCGCGUGUGUGAAGAAGGCCUUUUGGUUGUAAAGCACUUUAAGCGAGGAGGAGGCUACCGAGAUUAAUACUCUUGGAUAGUGGACGUUACUCGCAGAAUAAGCACCGGCUAACUCUGUGCCAGCCGCCGCAGUAAAAC
rnacentral:rRNA from 1 species